CAUUGUUGUUCGAAUGAUGCCCAAGGGCUUUCUUUUCCGUCCAUGAUUUUAAUAGUUUACUAAAACGAUGUUGUUCGACCAUUAAAAAGUUUAUUGUCAAACCACAUCCUUCCCAAUCGAAAGUGUUAUAUGCCUUGUCAAAAGUUCAUUUUCAUAAGACUAGCUACCUCCCCUUUCUAAGAGUAAUAACUGUCUCACUACCAAUUAAGACUUAAUCCAAAAGUUACUUUUUCCCCAAUGAAAGGAAAUGAAAUUCAAUAUUUAAACUACUGAAAUUAGCAAUAAAAAAUAAAUGAU
rnacentral:lncRNA from 1 species